ensembl:lncRNA
AUGGGAAAUAAGCAAGACGAACUCCAACUCCUAGCACAGCACCACACAUACGAUGUCAUAGGCAUCACUGAAACCUGGUGGGAUGACUCCCAUCACUGGAAUUUAACCAUUGAGGGCUAUAACCUCUUUCACAUAAAUAGAACAAAGGGGAGAGGAGGGGGAGUAGCUUUAUAUGUCAAAAACAGUUACGUUGCAGAAGAAAUGCAAGACUGUAAUCCGGGAAACCAGCUUGAAAGCAUCUGGAUAAGAAUCAAGGGAACCGGGACUCAAAAAGAUCUUGUCGUGGGUGUCUACUACAGACCUCCGAGUCAGGAUGAAGGACUUGAUGAAGCCUUCUGUCAACAGCUGACCAAACAGGCACAAAGAAGAGAUAUAGUAGUCAUGGGCGAUUUCAAUUAUCCCGAUAUCUGCUGGAAAACAAACUCAGCCAAGAGUACAAAGUCCAACAAAUUCCUCACUUGCCUUGCAGAUAAUUUUAUGGCCCAGAAGGUAGAAGAGGCAACAAGGGGAUCAGCAACUCUUGAUCUAAUCUUAACAAAUGUGGAAGACCUGAUCAAUACAGUUGAAGUGGUUGGAUCCUUAGGGGCAAGUGACCAUGUGCUCCUGCAGUUUGCAAUACAAAGGAAUGCUGAAACUAAGACAAGUCAAACACGCAUUCUGGACUUUAAGAGAGCUGACUUCCAAAAAAUGAAGGAAUUACUGAGCGGCAUUCCAUGGACGCCGAUAUUAAAAAACAAGGGAGUUAAGGAUGGAUGGGAGUUUUUCAAAAGUGAAAUACUCAAGGCGCAAAUGCAAACAGUGCCAACAAAGAAGAAAAAUAAGACAAGUGCAAAGAAGCCAGAAUGGAUGUCCAAAGAACUUCUAACUGAGCUAAAGCUCAAAAGUGACAUGCACAAGAAGUGGAAAAGGGGAGAAAUCACCAAAGAAGAAUUCAAACGUAUAGCCAACUCCUGUAGGGAAAAGGUUCGCAAGGCUAAAGCGCAAAAUGAGCUCAGGCUUGCCAGGGACAUAAAAAACAACAAAAAAGGUUUUUUUGCUUAUGUUGGUAGAAAAAGGAAGAAAAAGGAGGCGAUAGGGCCACUGCAAGGAGUAGAUGGGGUGAUGGUGACAGGGGAUAGGGAAAAGGCAGAACUGCUUAAUGCCUUCUUUGCCUCGGUCUUCUCACAAAAAGAAAGCCAUCUUCAACCUCAGCAACAUGGAAUGGACGAAGGAUUGGGGGAAAUCCAACCCCAAAUAGGGAAACAAGUUGUCCAGGAACACCUGGCCACUCUAAACAAAUUCAAGUCCCCAGGGCCAGAUCAGCUACAUCCAAGAGUAUUGAAGGAACUAGCGGAAGUUAUUUCAGAACCACUGGCAAUCAUCUUCGAGAGUUCUUGGAGAACAGGAGAAGUCCCAGCAGAUUGGAGGAGGGCGAAUGUGGUCCCUAUAGGGACCACAUUUGCCCUCCUCCAAUCUGCUGGGACUUCUCAAAACUCUCAAAGAUUAUUGCCAGUGGUUCUGAAAUUACUUCCGCUAGUUUCUUCCAUACUCUUGGAUGUAUUAGGCUGCCCCCCUCCCCCCAAAUACAUCUCAUGGAAUAAAAUAAGUAUAUUACAGUCUUAAAAAUAAAACAAGUUUGCCCAUGUUUCAGGCUAAGCUUGUAUGUGUAGUCUCAUUAUUUCAUGGGCUGGUAAGCAACUACUUACUUUGUAAUCUAUCACAAACAUUAGAGAGAUGGUUUCUACAUGCCAGAAUUGGAUGCCUGAAUCCAUAACUCAGAGACCAAAUGAAGACAAACUACCUCUUUGUGAAUUGGACCAAGCCUUAGACGAUGAACAUUCAUUUGAACUGUUGUUGCUCUCGUUCCUGUUGUUUAGACUAAGGCUUGGUAAUAGAAGUCUGACUACCUUUAAAAUAAUAUAUCAGUAUUUUAUAUUUGAACAUACAUUUCAAAAUAGUGGAUACACACACACAUAUUUUCACACACAGAAAAUAUAAACUAACUCACAGGUUACGUCUCUAUAUGUGUUUAAUAUAGCAUAAUAUACUGACACUGCACCUCCAGAUUCUUCCAUCUAGUCCUUCAUGCAAGUGAUCAACUGCUGUUGCACCAUAAACACACUCACAAAAAUAUAUACUUGCACACAAACACACAAUUACUUGCCAAGAGAAAACAGGAAGUUGCCUGGAUAGCAACCAGUUAUGCAUCUCACUGCAGAAGCAUUUCUUGGUGCUACCUGGGCAA